GGGUAGUUAUCCUGUACUUCGUACUCCACCGAAAUCUCCGAUUCAAGUCAGCAAACGACUUAUCCAACGGCUGUGAGAUUAGCACGAGACAGACAGCUAUCACAUGGACUUUCGACCCUUUUUUUUUGUUUCCUUCAAAAUGGAGUAUUAGUUACACUGUUAAUGUCUGAUUUGUAGAAGUGAUUAAUCAUGUAGUAAUUGAGAUGAAUCUGGUCUC